CAUUAAAAGAAUAGUUUUGAUGGACCUAAACAACCAAGUUCUGUAGUUGCAACAUGCCAACACAUUAACAAUUUUUAAAAUUUAUUUAGUAACUUUUGUUUAUACAUGCAGGCUCAAGCAUCACUUGAGCGGGAUGAUGAGGAUGUAUAUUUUGAUGAUGAAUCUACAGCUGGAAUGCAUGAUGAGAUCGAGGAUGAUCAGUUUGAAUCUAUUUUUGUUCAAGCUGAUCCAGUAGUCACUGUUGACAACCUGCUGGAACAAGUGACAGAUCGUGAAAUUACUGUGGAUGAGAACACAACACUUAUAGUUUGGUGAGAGGCAACAGAGCACAGAUGCAAUGGAUGAGGAUGUUGUAGAGGACCAUUCUGAAACUGAUGGUGAUUAUUCCAAUGAACACAUAGAAGCGGUAACUACUGACAAAGUUCCAGAACUCAAGCUGAUUGAAGAUAUUUUUGUUCAAUCUGAUCAUGCAGUUGCUGCUGACAACCUACCAGAACAAGUGAGAGAUUGUGAAAUUACCUUGGAGACCACAUCACUGAUAGUUGAUGAGAAGCAACAGAUCAUGGUUACAGUGGAUGGAGAUCUUGUCAAGGAUGAUUCUGAAACCGAUAAUGUUCAUGACGAUGAACAGAUGGAAGUGGUAACUGCUGACGAAGUGCUAGAGGACACAGGGAUAACUGUUGAAGAUGUUGAGGAGAAGCAAAAGAGCACAUUUACAGUGGAUAAAGAUGCUGUUGAUGAUCAUUUUUUCAAAACUGAUGAUGUUCAUGCCGAUGAACAGAUGGAAGCGUCAACUACUGAUGAAGUACCAGAACUCACAGAGGCAGAUUAUGAAGUUGUUGAGGAGAAGCAACAGAGCACAUAUACAAUGAAUGGAUGCUUUGAGAAUGAUCAUUUCAAAAUCCAUGUUGCUCAUGCUGAUGAAAAGAAGGAAGUUGUUGCUACUGAUGUGCCAGAAGUCACAGGGACGGAC
rnacentral:misc_RNA from 1 species